rnacentral:misc_RNA from 1 species
UUGAAUUGAACUCGGUAUGGGUUGUUGCUGGCCUCCUAGAGGCAUCGUGCACGCCUUUCCGUUUCUCUCUUUACCCCCCUGUGCACCCUUUGUAGGCUUGGAUAACUUUCGAGGAAACUCGGUUUGGGGGUUGUAGUGCAUCAUUCCUACUUCCCCUACAUUUCCCGGCCUAUGUCCUUUCAUAUACCCCAUUGUAUGUCAUCGGAAUGAAACGAAUUGGGCCUUUACAAGCUCGAUAUAAUUUAUUA